CCUACGGGUGGCAGCAGUGAGGAAUAUUGGUCAAUGGGCGAGAGCCUGAACCAGCCAAGUCGCGUGAAGGAUGAAGGAUCUAUGGAUUGUAAACUUCUUUUAUAUGGGAAUAAAAUGUUCCACGUGUGGGAUUUUGUAUGUACCAUAUGAAUACGGAUCGGCUAACUCCGUGCCAGCAGCAGCGGUAAUCCGGAGGAGCCGAGCGUUAUCCGGAUUUAUUGGGUUUAAAGGGAGCGUAGGUGGAUUGUUAAGUCAGUUGUGAAAGUUUGCGGCUCAACCGUAAAAUUGCAGUUGAAACUGGCAGUCUUGAGUACAGUAGAGGUGGGCGGAAUUCGUGGUGUAGCGGUGAAAUGCUUAGAUAUCACGAAGAACUCCGAUUGCGAAGGCAGCUCACUGGACUGCAACUGACACUGAGGCUCGAAAGUGUGGGUAUCAAACAGGAUUAGAUACCCCAGUAGUC
rnacentral:rRNA from 1 species